UACGAAGGGGCUAGCGUUGCUCGGAAUCACUGGGCGUAAAGCGCACGUAGGCGGACUCUUAAGUCGGUGGUGAAAUCCUGGAGCUCAACUCCAGAACUGCCUUCGAUACUGGGAGUCUCGAGUUCGGGAGAGGUGAGUGGAACUGCGAGUGUAGAGGUGAAAUUCGUAGAUAUCGAGAGGAACACCGGUGGCGAAGGCGGCCUUCUGGACAGUGACUGACGCUGAGACGCGAAAGCGUGGGGAGCAAACAGG
rnacentral:rRNA from 1 species